rnacentral:lncRNA from 1 species
UUACUACAGAAUACCACCUGCAUAGGUUUGGAUGAAUUUAUGCACAAGUUAUGUGGACCUUUAGAGAGUAGGGAUUUUAUGCACAAGUUAUGUGGACCUUUAGAGACUAGGGUUUUUAUGCACAAUUUAUGCACAACUAAGCUCAUAAAAUGAACUGCAUGAUGUAUAACCAUUGUAUCACCAAGGAAAGAUAACAAAUAUCAUCAAAAUAAAUGGACACACAGUUUUCAAGAGUAAUAAGUUUUUCCUAUGUUGGAUCUUUUAGAUAAAAGGAAUAGGAAAUGGUUAAAGAGGGGAGGGG